AGUCCGUGCGGGGGCAGGGCCAGGAGCAAGAGCAGGGGCGGGACCAAGAGCAAGUGCAGGGGCGGAGCCAGGAGCAAGAGUCGGGGCGGGGCCAAGAGCAAAUGCAGGGGCGGGGCCAGGAGCAAGGGCUGUGAGAGGCGCAGAAGCGAGGUGGAAUCUUAGAAGUGGGCUCCAGAGAGCUGUCCUGCGCGUGGGUGUUGACGCCUGCGUUCUCCAGGUUCUAGCCACGUUAUGUGCGGCACAGCCAUGUUCCCUGCCGGUCCUCCGUGGUCCAGAGUCCGAGUCCUGCAGGUGCUGUGGGCCCUGCUGGCAGUGCUCCUGGCGUCGUGGAGGCUGUGGGCGAUCAAGGAUUUCCAGGAAUGCACCUGGCAGGUUGUCCUGAACGAGUUUAAGAGGGUAGGCGAGAGUGGUGUGAGCGACAGCUUCUUUGAGCAAGAGCCCGUGGACACAGUGAGCAGCUUGUUUCACAUGCUGGUGGACUCACCCCUCAACCCGAGCGAGAAAUACCUGGGCUUCCCUUACUACCUGAAGAUCAACUACUCCUGCGAGGAAAAGACGGAGUCUUGCUCUGUUUCCCAGACUGGAGUGCAGUGGCGAGAUCUCGGCUUACUGCAGCCUCCGCCCCCUGUGCUCAUGCGAUUCUCCUGCCUCGGCCUCCCAAGUAGCUGGAACUACAG
rnacentral:sRNA from 1 species